UUCUGGUAGCACAUAUAUAGUAAAAUUAGAAUGAUACAGAGAAGAUUAGCAUGGCCCCCAGCCCAAAGUAUUCAACUUCUUGAAUCAUCUCUUUUUCAU
ensembl:snRNA U6 U6 spliceosomal RNA